rnacentral:rRNA from 1 species
AUUGAACGCUGGCGGCAGGCCUAACACAUGCAAGUCGAACGAGUGGCGGACGGGUGAGUAAUGUCUUGGAAACUGCCUGAUGUAGGGGUCUAACUACUGGAAACGGUAGCUAAUACCGCAUACCAUCAGAUGUGCCCAGAGGGGAUUAGCUGGUUGGUGUGGUAACGGCUCACCAAGGCGACGAUCCCUAGCUGGUCUGAGAGGAUGACCAGCCACACUGGAACUGAGACACGGUCCAGACUCCUACGGGAGGCAGCAGUGGGGAAUAGUGCACAAUGGGCGAAAGCCUGAUACAGCAAUGCCGCGUGUAUGAAGAAGGCCUUCGGGUUGUAAAGUACUGUCAGCGGGGAGGCGUUACCCGAAGAAGAAGCACCGGCUAACUCCGUGCCAGCAGCCGCGGUAAUUC